rnacentral:misc_RNA from 1 species
UGGGUUGAAGAGGUAGAGGGGGCUACCAUCUGAGGGAUGGCGACUUUUGUUGCAUCUGGAGGCUGGCUCUUAGUGGGACCUGCCGGUGCAGUCGGCGGUUGCGGAGGCGGGUUUGGGACUGCUGGUUGUCGACCUGGUGCUGUUGCCGCUGGUACUUGACGGGUUUGCUGUGGCGGCUGACGCUGAGCAGGGCGGGGCCUCGAUGACUGUUGCGGUGACUGUGAAGCAACAUACUGCAAGACCUCAAAAAUCCGGGUUUGACCAUAG